UAAGACAGAGGUGGCGAGCGUUGUUCGGAAUUACUGGGCUUAAAGAGCGCGUAGGUGUCCUGACAAGUCAGAUGUGGAAUCUUUUCGCUUAACGAAAAAAUUGCAUUUGAAACUGUCAGGAUUGAGUCAGACAGGGGAUGGCGGAAUUCCUGGUGUAGCGGUGAAAUGCGUAGAUAUCAGGAGGAAGGCCGGUGGCGAGGGCGGCCAUCUGGGUCUGUACUGACACUGAGGCGCGAAAGCGUGGGGAGCAAACAGGAUUAGAUACCCUGGUAGUCCACGCCCUAAACGGUGGGUACUAGGUGUAGGGUCCGCAGGGGUUCUGUGCCGAAGGGAAACCAUUAAGUACCCCGCCUGGGGAGUACGGCCGCAAGGUUG
rnacentral:rRNA from 1 species